GACGAACGCUGGCGGCGUGCCUAAUACAUGCAAGUAGAACGCUGAAGAGAGGAGCUUGCUCUUCUUGGAUGAGUUGCGAACGGGUGAGUAACGCGUAGGUAACCUGCCUUGUAGCGGGGGAUAACUAUUGGAAACGAUAGCUAAUACCGCAUAACAAUGGAUGACACAUGUCAUUUAUUUGAAAGGGGCAAUUGCUCCACUACAAGAUGGACCUGCGUUGUAUUAGCUAGUAGGUGAGGUAAUGGCUCACCUAGGCGACGAUACAUAGCCGACCUGAGAGGGUGAUCGGCCACACUGGGACUGAGACACGGCCCAGACUCCUACGGGAGGCAGCAGUAGGGAAUCUUCGGCAAUGGGGGCAACCCUGACCGAGCAACGCCGCGUGAGUGAAGAAGGUUUUCGGAUCGUAAAGCUCUGUCGUAAGUCAAGAACGGGUGUGAGAGUGGAAAGUUCACACUGUGACGGUAGCUUACCAGAAAGGGACGGCUAACUACGUG
rnacentral:rRNA from 1 species